rnacentral:rRNA from 1 species
UACGAAUGGGGCAAGCGUUGUUCGGAAUCACUGGGCUUAAAGCGUAUGCAGGCGGACUCGCAAGUCAGAAGUGAAAUCCCCGGGCUCAAUCCGGGAAUUGCUUUUGAAACUGCAAGUCUAGAAUCCCGGAGAGGUUAACAGAAUUCCGAGUGUAGAGGUGAAAUUCGCAGAUAUUCGGAGGAAUACCAGUGGCGCAAGCGGUUAACUGGACGGGCAUUGACGCUCAGAUACGAAAGCGUGGGUAGCAAACAGG